GAUGAAGAACGCAGCGAAAUGCGAUACUUGGUGUGAAUUGCAGAAUCCCGUGAACCAUCGAGUCUUUGAACGCAAGUUGCGCCUCAAGCCAUUAGGUUGAGGGCACGUCUGCCUGGGCGUCACAUAUCGUUGCCUGAUGCCAGUUUCCUCGUGAUGGGUGACUGUGCAGGGGGAAUGAUGGCUUCCCGUGAGCAUUGUUGCCUCAUGGUUGGUUGAAAAUUGAGUCCUUGGUAGGGAGCGCCGUGAUAGAUGGUGGUUGAGUGACGAACGAGACCCAAUCAUGUGAGACCCCUACCGAAUUUGGCCUUCAUGACCCACAUGCGUCUUUGGAACGCUCAUGACGAGACCUCAGGUCAGGCGGGGCUACCCGCUGAGUUUAAGCAUAUCAAUAAGCGGAGGA
rnacentral:misc_RNA from 1 species